UACGAAGGGGGCUAGCGUUACUCGGAUUGACUGGGCGUAAAGGGCGCGUAGGCGGUUCGUACAGUCAGACGUGAAAUCCCGGGGCUCAACCCCGGGCCUGCAGUGGAUACGGGCUGGCUAGAGGCAGGCAGGGGAGAACGGAAUUCCUGGUGUAGCGGUGAAAUGCGCAGAUAUCAGGAGGAACACCGGUGGCGAAGGCGGUUCUCUGGGCAUGUCCUGACGCUGAGGAGCGAAAGUGUGGGGAGCGAACAGG
rnacentral:rRNA from 1 species